AGAAGGAACAGCAGAGUGACAGCCUCAGCAAGAGAGAAUUUCUGAGAACACUAAAAAUGCAUCCUCUUAUAGUGCAAAUAUCUUUCCAAGUUUGUGGAAGUUGUUUGCUGCUUUAGAGAUUUGGUGCUUGACAUUGCAUCACCACCAUCUUACUCAGUAGAAAGGUCAUGGAAAGUAAAUCCAAGAGCACGAGGAAGAAAUCAGCCAUGAAAAGAGACUGACACUCAGGAACUGGGAGCUUCCUCCAG